UACGGGGGGAGCAAGCGUUGUUCGGAUUUGCUGGGCGUAAAGGGCGCGUAGGCGGUCAGCACAAGUCAGUUGUGAAAUCUCCGGGCUUAACCCGGAAAGGUCAGCCGAUACUGCGGGGCUAGAGUGCAGAAGGGGCAACUGGAAUUCUCGGUGUAGCGGUGAAAUGCGUAGAUAUCGAGAGGAACACCUGCGGCGAAGGCGGGUUGCUGGGCUGACACUGACGCUGAUGCGCGAAAGCUAGGGGAGCGAACGGG
rnacentral:rRNA from 1 species